ACAGCAGCAGCAACAGCAACAACACCCACCUCAACCACAGCAAUUCAUACAUGCAGGCGCACACUACAUCCACCAGCACCCAUCUGGUGCAGUUCAAAUUCCAGCAUUUUUCCCUGUAUAUUCUCCUCAGCACCAUCAUCAUCCCCAUCAGAUGGAACAGCAGUAUCCAGUCUAUUACAUGCCUGCUAGACAGGGCCAAGCUUAUGGCAAUUUGCCAGUACAGCAAUCUACCAUCAGCGAGUCUGGCACUGCUCUUCCUCCUGGCCGGCCCCAAACCCCUCCCAAUCCAACAUUGGUUACUACUGCAGCUUACAACCACAUGAGGAAUGCUCCUAUUGCAAAAACUGAAAUGGCUGCCAAUGCAUACAAACAGACAACUACAGCUCCUCAGUCGUUAGUUCAGGUUCCUACAAGUCAGCAUCAGCAACAAUAUGUUGGCUACAACCAGGGUUACUCUCAUAUUCAGCAUCCAUCCCAAUCAGUUGCACCUACAUCCGCUACUGCAAAUUAUGCAUAUGAAUUUUCA
rnacentral:misc_RNA from 1 species